CACAGAUGCGGCCAGCAGGCAGGCAGUGGGUAAGUGGUGAGACCCCAGGCUGGCACCUGCUGCACACUCUGGCUGUUAUUCGGAAGUACACGGGUUAUUCUUCCUGCAGAUCAGCUUCAGAGUCUACUUUUUAAACUUUAAGCCAACCUUGUCCCCUAAACUGGGAUAUCACUGGAAUUACUUUAUGGAUGUAUUAACAUCUUUUCAAUACAGAGUCUUCUAAUUCAGAAACAAGGGAGAGGCACCAAGGAGGAACGACGUUCAGGUCUGGGGCUGACACUGCCCGUGCGGGAAGCUGCGCUCUGCCAAGAACGUGGUGCCGGCCUUCGCCAGUCCUGUAACCUUGGUCCACCCCUCGGUUUCCUCAUCC